rnacentral:rRNA from 1 species
ACCUACGGGGGGCAGCAGUGCGGCCUCUUGGUCCCUGGCCGUCCGUCUGCCCCAGCCAUGCCGCGUGCAGGAUGACGGCUCUAUGAGUUGUAAACUGCUUUUGUACGAGAAUAAUAGUUCUUACGUGUAGGGAUUUGAAUGUAUCGUACGAAUAAGGAUCGGCUAACUCCGUGCCAGCAGCCGCGGUAAUACGGAGGAUUCGAGCGUUAUCCGGAUUUAUUGGGUUUAAAGGGUGCGUAGGCUGUUGGAUAAGUUAGAGGUCAAAUGUCGGGGCUUAACCCCGUGCCUGCCUCCGAUACUGUUCG